rnacentral:misc_RNA from 1 species
AAACACCCCUCAACUCCUCGGCGAACUUUUCGUGGUAUUUCGGCGACAACUGCCUGGAAUCGAAUCUGGAAAUCUUGCCGCCCAAUAUCUGGAAACUGACCCACUUCAAGUGCGAAUUCAGUACGGCCAGGUCCAGAAUCUCGUACAGGAUCGCCUCCUUUAAGUGUCCCGGUAAUUUUCGAAAAUAAUCUCUGAAUACCGGGAUUGCCUCCUCUCCGCGGAGUUUCACCAUAUCCAGUGUUAAUUCGAAAAGGGUUAAUUUACAAAAAUCACUUAAAUUUGGAACAGGUAGUCGAGGAGACAUGACGGAAGUAGAGCGUGAGUUUAUCGGGAAUUUAUCGUUUGACUGAUGUUUUUUUUUUUUGACUUUGUUUUUGUGGAACGGUGCCAAGAAGAUGUUUGCAAACUUAACGAUUCUUCUCUACUGCUUGGCCUUCUACAGUGCAAUCCAAUAUGCUUCAGCCUUACCAGAUCUACCAUCUGACCCGCUGAUUCUCUUACCAGUACGUCAUAGAAGAUUCGUUGUCGACGAAAACGCGGGGCAUUUCCGUAAAGGCCCUUUAAUUACCCCCACGAAGUCACCGUUUAACCCCAACCCCCCACAACCCUUCCAGACCUCCGGUUCCAAAGGUUUCCGAUUUAGGAGGUUCGUCGACCGUAAUAGUCAACCGCCGGUGUUUAGUCGACCCGGUGCGUCGUCUGUUGUCACUUUGCCACCGUUUCGACCCAGUUUGGACCGUCAGCAGGAAAAAUUCAUGUUUUAGGAGACGCACAACAGGUGUCAUGAAACAAUGUUAAAAAUUUAUAUAUUAAUAAAGGUUUGAAUUUAUAUAUAGUAGAGAUCUCUCUAUGAGAAAUAAGCAGAUGGAUAGAAAAUGGAUGAAACAACGCAAUCCGGUAUAUCUUGUUAUGCAAACCGGGGCAUUAUAUAAUGUUUGUUAUGGUGUUUACUAAUUCGCUAAAGAGGUAUUUUUGCCAGUUAUAAGCAUGUUUGCAAACUUAACGAUUCUUCUCUACUGCUUGGCCUUCUACAGUGCAAUCCAAUAUGCUUCAGCCUUACCAGAUCUACCAUCUGACCCGCUGAUUCUCUUACCAGUACGUCAUAGAAGAUUCGUUGUCGACGAAAACGCGGGGCAUUUCCGUAAAGGCCCUUUAAUUACCCCCACGAAGUCACCGUUUAACCCCAACCCCCCACAACCCUUCCAGACCUCCGGUUCCAAAGGUUUCCGGUUUAGGAGGUUCGUCGACCGUAAUAGUCAACCGCCGGUGUUUAGUCGACCCGGUGCGUCGUCUGUUGUCACUUUGCCACCGUUUCGACCCAGUUUGGACCGUCAGCAGGAAAAAUUCAGGUUUUAGGAGACGCACAACAGGUGUCAUGGAACAAUGUUAAAAAUUUAUAUAUUAAUAAAGGUUUGAAUUUAUA